UCGCAAAAAAUUAACUCUGAUUAGUGAAUAAGAUAAACUAAUCUUUUUACACCUCUUAUAUUAUUUGUGAUGGUAUAAAAAAAAAAAGAUUACCGUUGAGAAUUUUUCAAAAAAACAUUUCUAUAUAAUUAUAACAGUUGGGGCUUUUGAAGUGAUAUAUUUGUGAUGGCAAUAGUAUCGUUUCACUUAUUUUCUGUUAAAAAAUUAACAAUACUCUAAUGGUAACAAAUCAAAGGGGCAAAUAUAAAUAUCAUUGAAUUUUUGCAUGGAUAAAUAUAAAAAGUUGAACUUUGUAAGGAUAUAUUUGUUAUUUGAUAUGUUUAUAUAGAGAUGUAUAAAAUUAACC
rnacentral:lncRNA from 1 species